rnacentral:rRNA from 1 species
CCUACGGUGGACAGCAGUAGGGAAUAUUGCUCAAUGGGGUAAACACUGAAGCAGCAACGCCGCGUGGAUGAUGAAGGUUUUAGGAUUGUAAACUCCUUUUGUGAGAGAAGAUAAUGACCGUAUCUCACGAAUAAGCACCGGCUAACUCCGUGCCAGCAGCCGCCGUAAUACGGAGGGCGCAAGCGUUACUCGGAAUCACUGGGCGUAAGGAGUGCGCAGGCGGGCUGGUAAGUCAGAUGGGAAAUCCUGUAGCGUAACUAGGGAACUGCAUUUGAAACUGUGGGUCGAGAGUGUGGUAGAGGUAGGUGGAAUUCUUGGUGUAGGGGUAAAAUCCGUAGAUAUCAAGAGGAAUACU